rnacentral:rRNA from 1 species
UACGUAGGUGGCAAGCGUUAUCCGGAAUUACUGGGCGUAAAGCGCACGUAGGCGGUUCGUUAUGUCGGAUGUGAAAGCCCUUGGCUUAACCGAGGAAGUGCAUCCGAAACUGGCGAGCUAGAGUACUAAAGAGGAUCGCGGAAUUCCCGGUGUAGAGGUGAAAUUCGUAGAUAUCGGGAGGAACACCGGUGGCGAAGGCGGCGAUCUGGGUAGAUACUGACGCUGAGGUGCGAAAGCGUGGGGAGCAAACAGG